UACGAGGGGGGCGAGCGUUGUUCGGAAUUAUUGGGCGUAAAGAGCUCGUAGGCGGCCUGUCGCGUCUGCUGUGAAAUCCCGGGGCUUAACCCCGGGCGUGCAGUGGAUACGGGCUGGCUGGAGGCAGGCAGGGGAGAACGGAAUUCCCGGUGUAGCGGUGAAAUGCGCAGAUAUCGGGAGGAACACCGGUGGCGAAGGCGGUUCUCUGGGACGGUACUGACGCUGAGACGCGAAAGCGUGGGGAGCGAACAGG
rnacentral:rRNA from 1 species